AUACAAAUGAUAAGUGAUUUGCCCAGUGUCAUAAAGAUACUUAGUGGCAGAAGAAAAUUUUAACUCCAAAUUUCUGACCUCUUUUUCUGUUCCAUAAUACUCCUAUAUUUUGAGUAUGAAAUUUUGAAUAAAUAUGAGGCUAAGACACAUUUGUUAAUUUCUCUUAAUGUGCAAUCAGGAAAUUGAAAUAAGGGCUUUCAAUAAGCAAACACAGCUCCUAGUAACAUGACCAAAGAGCCUUAUAAUACUUUUACCAUGAUGUGGUAUCCAUACCUCCCCAGCUUAUUUUCUUUGGAUCUCAAAAUGGAUACUUUGCCUGUCUCCUAUUGCUAUUAAUUGCCACAUACAUCUCUUUGUGUGAUUUGCUUGGCAGCCCUGAAAACAGCUGGCUGUCUGGUUGGAUCAGUCCCCCGUGGCAAACUCAGGACUCUGCGUUCCCAGUACUGGCUCACAGAAUCUGGUUGAAUCACCAAAAUGUGAAGACAAGCCUUCAGUUCCCUUCUUGACCACCAGCAUGGAACUAAACAAUUAAACCUGUCAGAAAAAAAAAAGCUGCUGUAUUUUAAGGUAACAGAGACAUGGACUUUUUAAGGUAACAGAGACAUGGACUUGAGAAGACAACUUGGCUCAAUUCCUAGCUCUGCAACUUACUUACUAGGUUUGUGUCUUUGGACUGCAUCCUAACAAACAACUGUGUCAAGACAUUUGAACAGCAUAUUCUACACAAAUAAAAAGGAAAUGAUAAAGAUAAAAGAAAUUAAUAGAAUGGAAAGUGAUGGAGAUAAACAAGUGAAAAGAUGGUCCUUUGAAAAGACUAAAACAUGGCCAAUGCACUGGCAAGAAUGAUUGGGACAAUAAACAAAAUAUAUAUGCCAGGGCAGCUCCCGGCGAGAUCGACGCAAAA